GACUCAUUAGCUCAGUAGGUAGAGCACCUGACUUUUAAUCAGGUUGUCCGGCGUUCGAUCCGCCGAUGGGUCACCA
rnacentral:tRNA from 1 species